rnacentral:lncRNA from 1 species
GUGUUACGAGAUGAUUUCUGAAAAAACCCCACAGAUGUUGUAGUGGCAGCUGGAGAGCCUGCAAUCGUGGAGUGCCAGCCUCCCCAGGGACACCCAGAACCCACCAUCUACUGGAAAAAAGACAAAGUUCGAAUUCAUGACAAGGAAGAAACAAUAAGUAUCCGUGGUGGAAAACGGAUGAUCUCCAAUACCAGGAAAAGUGAUGCAGGGAUGUAUACUUGUAUUGGUACCAAUAUGGUGGGAGAAAGGGACAGUGACCCAGGAGAGUUGACUGUUUUCGGUAAAACU